AAUCAUUGCAGUGUGGCCAGAGAGGAGCAGACGAGAUUAUAGAUGAAAGUAGAGAAAAACGGUGGGCAGGGGCAGGGAGAGGAAAGGCCAGACAAAUGCAAUCAUUUCUCCAAAGGAUUUGAGAAGAGAUCAUUUAUUUGAAAUAUUCCUGCCAUGUUGAUGGAGCAGCUCAAUCUUUUGCCAGUGAAUCUUUAGCGUUUUGUUUUUCAUUUGUAGAUAUGGUUGAACAUAUACUUAGGACACGUAAUAACUAUGGAACUUCAUCACAAACACAGCACUGAGGACAUGUUAUAUUUUGCUGCUAAAAUUAGUUGGAGUUGGGAGGAGGAGCACUGGGGCAUAACCGUCAGCAGCUGCAGCUUGGAGAAGCUGGUUCUCUUGUCUUCAAGAAGGCAGAUCUCUCCCUAGCCUGCUGAGCCUUCUGUGUUUUGGGGAAGAAGAACUUGAUGUAUACCUCCUGACCUGUUCAUCUUGUAGCUGCCUCUUGACAGAUAUAAGAGGCCGCCCUGUAGAGGAGGAAGGAGGAAGUUGGCUGUGAUUGACCUUGCUAGGUCAUCUUCCUAAUCUUUGUCCUUUCCUGCACCCCAAAUGGAAGAUAAAAGGCAAUGCAAGAUCAGCAUCCUCAGAGACAUCGUUUUGUUUGGGUUUCAUGGAUUGCAAUUGCCAGAGAUGCUUAGGCUGCCUCUAGAGGGAAGAUGAUUGAUUGUUAACCUAUGUGGUCCAACCAAAUGUCUUAGGGGUUAUUGAUAAUUAAAAUGGACAAUAGCGAUUUUCCAUUUCUUCUGGCCUUGGGUGCUGGCAUGUGGAAGUGGUAUUGAUACUCAUGACCAAAUAGGCACUUAUCGAUUUCAGUUUUCAUAAGUUGCCUACCAAAUGCAAACUAGUAACCCAGACGUGGGAGACCUAAUAUUCCAUUGUUAAUCUUUAGGUCCAUAAUUUUUAUUUCCUCUACUUGCCUCUUCUUCCUUCCU
ensembl:lncRNA novel transcript